rnacentral:misc_RNA from 1 species
GCUCCCAUGCAUGUCCAAAAUGCUCGUGAAAUUCCAGAAUAUGAGAUUGAUCCUAGAGAGCUUGAUUUUUCUAAUAGUGUUGAUAUAACCAAGGUAACUUACUGUUCUCCCUUGAUAUUAUAUUAAUGUUUCUUUAUUGGUUUAUGAAUUUGUUGUUUAGAGGUGAGCAAAGUAUUUUUGUUUACAUUUUUCAUUACCUUUUUGAUACACUGAUAAGUGAAUGAUUUUUGGUUUUAGAUGGUAUUUUUUGUCUGAAGAAAAAAUAGGUAAAUCCCAAAUCAUGUCACCUUAAAGUGAUCUAUGCAUUAUUUGAAAUUAUCUGUUUGAAAGUUUCCAGGGUUAAUGAUAAAUAAAGUAAAUGUCAUUGUUAAGAUUUCAAAUUGGUUUGGAAUAAAGGUAAUGUGCUCCUUAUAUGACUUUGAGCACCCCUCUCCCCUUGAGCUAGUUUUUGGAAGUGAGUUAGGCUCCACCCAUCUUUUGAAGUUGGUAACAGAACUAGCCCUAUCUUGCGAGACUCAACACUUGGAGUGGUAGCUCAUAAAGUGGUGGCCUAAAUCCAUUGUGUAAGAACAGGUGGUCUGAUGUGUAGGGUACUAGCCGUGACCAACGUGACUGUGAUUAACAUAGUCGUGACCAACGAGGAUGUUGGUUCUCCAAGCGUAGGGUAUUGUUACGAUCUCAUAUAGCUAAGGAACAACCUUAGUGAGAGGUUAACAAGUUCCUAGGCACCCUUCCCUGGCAAGCCAGUUUUCAAGGGUGAGUUCUACCUAGGUGGUUUAUCCUCACAUAAUUCAAUAUCAGCAACUCCUAGUACUCAAUAGUUCAUGUCAAUUGAUACCCUGCUUCAACAUUGGUAUAUGAUAUUGCAAGCUUAAUAUAUGAUAUUUUUACUGAUAGGAAUUUAAUUCUGCCAUUGUUUUUUUUUUUUUUUUAAGACAGAGUCUCUUUAAUAU